GGAGCCCCCGGGUGGACAUCGGCCCCUUGCCUACGCAGGGCCGCCGCGAGGAUUUUCGGAGGGUCCGCCGCCGGGUCUGGGGAACCCAGCCUUCCAUGCCAAUCUACCGCUAGCUGGAGCUGCCCCAGCCCCGCUGGUCAGGGACCCUGGGUGAGGGCCAGCUUUCCGGUUAGCAUCACCUGGGGGGAGCAGGAGCGAGAGUAGGCCUCAAAAAUGACGUAAAAAGGCGCAGGCGACUCCUGUGUGCACUGUUGGGAGAGCUGUGAUUUAUCUAUCUAUCAGUGGGCUUUCCCUGCUCUCUGGCUGGUUCUGAGGGCUGGACCUCGCUCCCCGCCACUGCCACCCCCACCCCCCAGGAUUCAGUGGUCUCCUGCUGCUAUCAGAAGUGGCAUCUCAGGCCUGCCACUUGCUUUUGGAGUUGGGUGCAGAAGUGUCCUGACUCUCAGCCCCUUGGAAGGCCCAGGUGAUUCCUGUGCCCCACAAGACUGAGAGGCGCUGCUUCAAGAGAUUACAGCUGAAUAGAAAAAGAAAAGUCGGAAAAUGAUAGCAGUGAAAUAGACCAUCUCUCCAGGGCUGUUUCUUUGCCUGAAGAUAAGAGGACACAAGUGGGUGACCUUCACAUUUUUUUCUCUAUGGAAUUGCCUGGUGUAGACAGAAAAACCCAACUGCAAAAACCUAACAAAGCACACUCACUGCCGAGUACAAUGAAUGUAAAAUUCAUGAUAGCAGUUUUCAUUAUAUGCGGAAGAAGUGAUUAAUGAGUUCUUUAUAAUAAGAAACGUGUUUCAUGGAAUAAAUCAUCUGGAAUUCUUAAGGUGCAGAGCGGGCGACAUUCAUUCACCUGAUGCCAUUCAUUUUAAUCCAGUGUGAAUACAUUCCCAGCUCUUAGCUAGAGGUGCAGAGCCCUAUUUGAAGAACCCACACGGUCUUCCCAAAGGUCAUCCUUUCCUCCGGGUCCCAGCUGUACUGGAGGAAAAUGGGAAUUCCAGCACACCCCAAGAAGGUUCAGCAUUUGGCUUUUGCUUAUCUCUGACUUAGCCAGUCUUGGAGAAUUGAGCAAUGAUGCCAGCUGGCGCACAGUUGAGCCUGCAUCAGCAUCGAUGCCAGUGGCACCACAGUGGGUCUCCGUCUUGCUAACGUGCCUCAUACAGGCGUUCAACGUGUGUGCCGACAAAGGAGAGCUGACAGUCAUCCUCCCAGACAGUCAGUGUGCUACCACAGUGACCAAAAGCAAAUCAAGAGAUUCCCAACUGCCAGUGAUAAGUAAAGAUGGCCAUGGAUUCCUGCUGGUGGAACCAAGAGAUCCUAACUGCCAGUGAUAAUAAGCGCUCAGUCAGUGCAUUACCACAGUGACCAAAAACAAACCAAGAGAUAUCAGUAAGGACGGCCAUGGCUUCCUGCCGGUGGUUUCGGAUGAAUGCUUUGGGCCAGAACACUUUGGGUUCUAAACACAAUCAAACACUAAACUCACUCUCUUGGAGAUGCUUAGGAAAGACAUGCAGCAGCUGCCAGCCCUGAUGUGAAGGAUAAGAGCUAUAACUGGAUACUUGGUUAAAACUUUAACUUCAUGUUCACAAAACUCCUACCUCCUAUUUAUAUGUCUGAAUGGAUUUUUCAUACCUCUGACAUUCAUGUGACCUUUUCCAAGACGAAUGGCCAGUACCCGUCUUGUCUUUGAACACACCUCUUCCUGUAAAUCUAACCACUAACAUAACUUCCAUAACAAAUUUACUUUUCUUU
rnacentral:lncRNA from 1 species